UUUAACUGUGUUUUUGUACAUCUGUUCCACUGUAUAUAUAUAUAUAUUACAUGCCCUGUUAUCACAUCAUUACAGUAAGGGGCCUCAGAUGGGGGCUCUCACUGCUAACUGUAAUAUACAUACUUUAUAAACAUGUGUAUAUAUCAUGUAACUGAGAAUUUUCUCAAGGAUAUCUGCAAGGUGCAGCGAGAAGGAAGAAGCAUUUUGAUACUUCAAUGUCUUACAGAGGUAGAUAUAUAUAUAUACAGUACUGUAUAAUACAGUACCUGGUAAUCCUAAUUGUCUUACAGAGGUAGAUACAUAUAUAUAUAUAAUACAGUACCUGGUAAUAUAAUACAGUACGUGGUAAUAUAAUACAGUACUUGGUAAUCCUAAUUGUCUUACAGAGGUAGAUACAUGUAUAUAUAAUACAGUACCUGGUAAUCCUAAUUGUCUUACAGAGGUAGAUACAUGUAUAUAUAAUACAGUACCUGGUAAUCCUAAUUGUCUUACAGAGGUAGAUACAUAUAUAUAUAUAAUACAGUACCUGGUAAUCCUAAUUGUCUUAAUGGGAGGAACAUUUCACCAAAUUGAUUUUGACAUUAUGCAAGAGUUAUAGUUGAAUUAUAUUAAUCUUUAUUGUAAAUAAAAUUAUGUUAUUGAUUAAAAAUGAUGUACAAUUUCACCUUUGACCUCUUAAAUCUUUAGAGCAUAGACAGUAUAUAAUAGGAUACACAAAGGAAAUCUACAAUUUCACCUUUGACCUCUAGCAGCCUGUAUAUUAAAUCUUUAGAGCAUACACAGUAUAUAGUAGGAUACACACAGGAAAUGUACAAUUUCACCUUUGACCUCUAGCAGCCUGUAUAUUAAAUCUUAAGAGCAUACACAGUAUAUAGUAGGUUACACAAAGGAAAUGUACAAUUUCACCUUUGACCUCUAGCAGUCUGUAUAUUAAAUCUUUAGAGCAUACACAGUAUAUAGUAGGAUACACACAGGAAAUGUACAAUUUCACCUUUGACCUCUAGCAGCCUGUAUAUUAAAUCUUUAGAGCAUACACAGUA